AACGAACGCUGGCAGCAGGCUUAACACAUGCAAGUCGAACGCCCCGCAAGGGGAGUGGCAGACGGGUGAGUAACGCGUGGGAAUCUACCCAUCUCUACGGAAUAACUCAGGGAAACUUGUGCUAAUACCGUAUACGCCCUUCGGGGGAAAGAUUUAUCGGAGAUGGAUGAGCCCGCGUUGGAUUAGCUAGUUGGUGGGGUAAAGGCCUACCAAGGCGACGAUCCAUAGCUGGUCUGAGAGGAUGAUCAGCCACAUUGGGACUGAGACACGGCCCAAACACCUACGGGAGGCAGCAGUGGGGAAUAUUGGACAAUGGGCGCAAGCCUGAUCCAGCCAUGCCGCGUGAGUGAUGAAGGCCCUAGGGUUGUAAAGCUCUUUCACCGAUGAAGAUAAUGACGGUACCGGAAGAAUAAGCCCCGGCUAACUUCGUGCCAGCCGCCGCGGUAAUAC
rnacentral:rRNA from 1 species